rnacentral:lncRNA from 1 species
UGGAAUUGAAUUGUUCGAAGUUGAAUCUGGUGGUGGUGGGAUUGAAUUACUCGAAGGGUCAUAGAAACGGUCUAUCUCAUACCUGAAAUUACAGCUUGGAUAAAUAACUCUUCCUCCUUGUCUUGCAUUACAACACUCUGGAAUAAGUCCUGAAGCAUUAUACAGGCAAUCCCUGCAUUCCGAAGGAGAUAAAUCCGGAGUACACUGUACAAGUGCAUAUAUUGUUUGAAAGUUUGGGGCAGCUAUUUGACCCGUUGCAUUCUUGUAACGAGAAUCCCCUGCUGCUGCUUCAUCUCUCAGCCUAUCUAACAAGGUCAUCCGUGACUGAUUGAACCCGACUACAUCAGAGACAUUAACUCGAAUAUCAUACACCCAAAAAUAAGGUCCUCUUCCAAGAGAUUAAAUAUGGAGCGGUUUGUAGCGUACCAUACAAUCGUCUAACCCUCCAAUUGCCUCCACAAAGUUUGUACAGUUUCUUACCAGGGAAUCACUAGCAUUUCUUAUGCAACUGCGGCAGGCACCAGGACUGAUAUCCGGUCUACAAAGUGCAAUUGAAUAGACUGUGUCCGCGUCUUGGCCGUAGGAAAAGUUGUAAAAGCCAUUGUUUAUUUCAGUGUUGGUGUAGAUAGAGGUGAGGAGUUGAUUGAGAUUUGCCUGGUAAGUACUGUUCGUGGUGUAGUUGCCCUUUCCUACACAGUCGUGAUAUGACAUCCCAGACUGGUCUGCUAGCUGCUGUGCCUUAGCUAGAGCCAGAACUUUCACGAACAGAAGACAGAGAGAAAAAAGCAAUCUGGAAGAAGCCAUCAGUUUUGUUGCCUGCCUCUGAAUCUGGUACAGUGAUAUGAAAUGAUCUUCCUAAUUAUUGAACAUCUGGGAACUAUUCAAAAUAAAUCUGGCUUGUGCAUACAAGAAUAUUGGUAUUCUUCAAACUAAAAAGUCUCAAUAAGUUUGUCUUAAAGUUAUGGCGGUAUCCUCACCGAAUUUGACAGACUUUGAAAUAAUAAAAAAAAAGAAUAUUAACAUAGAAGCUCAAGACAAAAUUGAUUUAAAUUAAAUAGUAAAACCAAUAUUAUUCAAGAACUAAAAACAAUCAUGCCAAUUUUACAUGCUUUAUUUAAUUUUAUAAGAUUUUAAUUUAAUUAUCAUUUUAACUUACAAUUAAGGGCCUUCCGGAUAUAAAAAGUGGAUUCAAUAAUAUUUUCUUGAAUGUGAGGUGAGAGGGCUUUGUCAAAUAUUUAUUUUUCUUAGGUUACCUCUAUAAUUUCCUUAAUACCUCAAAUGAGUUAUUGUAUUCUACCCUUGAGAAAAGAAAAAUUGUUUUCUCACCAAAGUUGAGAAAACUUGAUUCCUUAAUACACAUGCAACGGUUUUUAAUUUCAUAAUUAUCCAAGUAGUGGAAGGGAAAUGAUUACUAUCUCCGUGUGAAAUUUUCGGUUGGUCUCUUUUUUUACUGCUUAAUUUCUAUGGAAAAAAGGGAUUGGUCCCCCAUCUUUUCAGAAAAAUGUGGAAAUUUGAAAUACUCUGCGAAGACUCGUGGAAGACAUGUGACAUUGCCUUUCACAAUAAAGACAAUAGACUCGUUCACAUGGAACUUGUUGUUUGGUUUGAAGACUUGUUAAUAUGAAUAUUCUUGGAGAAACGCAGAAUUGUUGGUCCACUUCCUCAGAAAAGAAAUCAGAACGACAAGAAUGCCCACAGCAGUGUUUGAAAUUCAAAACCAAAAUUAUUUUAUCGGAAUAUAUAGCUCACCAUAUUAGAUCAUGAAAAAUUAAACCAAAAUUUUGAAAUUUUGACUUUAUAAUUUUUAAAAUUAUAGGUCAUUUCUUCUUUUACUUCUACCUAAACAAUAUUAAAUCAAAUAAAUUAAAUGAUAUAAUCUUUGGCCACCCUAGUAUAUCCUCUAGCAACAUUAAAUAUUGUUUAAUAAACUUACUCUACAUGUCUCCUUAAUUAGCCCAUCCUAUGCCUUUAAUGUUUCACAUAUUUUUCAAAGCUAACUUGUAGCGUAGGAUGCCUUAAAUGUUUCACAUAUUUUCCAAGCUAACUUGUAGCAACAUUAAAUAUUAAUUAAUCAUCAGAAAAAGAAUGUUAUAAGUGAAAUGAUGACUUUGGAUGCUGCCAUUGGCUGAUACAAAAGUCAUUUGGUUUGAAGACUCUGUCGCUAGGAACUCCUUGUUUGGUUUGAAGACUUGGCGACCUGAAUUAAUAUUCAUGGAGAAACCAAAAUUGCCUGUCCAAUUCCUCAGAAACAAUUAAUGGAACUACGUACAAGAUGACACACAGCAGAGUUAAAAAUUCAAAACAUGGAAUAAAUGGAGUCUCUGGUCAAUGGCGAAGUCUCCCCGAGUAUUUUAAGUCCAAUUUUGUACAUAUAAUUCAGUUCAGUCCCUUUUUCUCAAAUUUAUUCACAAUUGGAUCCUCUUUUCUCUUUCUCUCUCUCGAAUGCAUGUUCUCGAAAAGGCUCAUCAAUCCAGGAGUCUAAAGUUAGCCAUGUUUAAAUCUUUUCAAAUCUGAAUUCUGUAACUAACAAGCACAUCACUUGAAAACGUAAUGGAGCAAUAAGAUUAAUACUUCUCUUCUUAUCAAUUCUUCAUCGAAAUAUUUAAAAAUACUUUCCCUAUUUUUCACAUAGAAUUUUAUAGGAAUAUAUAGAAGCUCACCAUAUUAGAUCAUGAAAAAAUAAACAAAGAUUUUGAAACUUUUACUUGGUAAUUAUUGAAAUUAAAGGUCGUUUUCCUUUCUUCCUUUUUUAUUUGUACCUACAAAAUCAUUAGUAAUCAAAUAAAUUAAUUAUAUGAUGUAAUCUUUGACCAUCCUAGUAUAUACUAUAGUCACACCAAGUAUUAAGAACCAUAUUACUCUACAUGUCUCCUUAAUUAGCCCAUCCUAUGCCUUUGAUGUUUCACAUAUUUGUCGAAGCUACGUUGUAGUAUAGUUUUGCAUUUUUCUACUCGUAUGUCACAUGCUCUCAAUUUUUGUGUUUUGUUUGCAAGGUCACAUAUACAUGUUGUAUCCUGAGAUUUAACACAAAGCUUGCUUUACCUCGUUCCUAUGAUAAAAGUUCUUUGUAAUAUACUUGUGAGUGCUUCCAUAAUUUCUAUUUUUCUUUAAGCUUGUCAUAAUGAAAUCUAUUCACAGGUUACCAUAUAUACUUUACAUUUCGAGCCAUGCUAACACUCCUAAAACUUGUUUGCAUUUGUCACAAAGCAUGCAUGGUAGAAAUUACACAUUCUUUAUUUUCCGAAUAACAGAGGCAUAAAUUCCCAGAACUGUAUCAAGACAAAAUUCUUUGAUUAAAGCUCAAGAAAAGUGUGACAAUUCAUUGAAGUUUAAUUAAGUUAAUUCAAAUUUCUCUUAUUUAUUUAAAAAUACUAUCAUCAUUUGAAUUGAUUUUUUUUUCAUUAACGGAAAAAAAUUUGGUCCAGCCAACAAUAACCAUAUUAUUUUAUAAUCAAGAUUGCAGUGUUGGAAAUUCAAAACCAAAAUUAUUUUAUAAUGAAAUAAAAACUUUGAAAUUUCGACAUAAUAAUUGUUAAAAAUAGAGGUCAUUUUCUUCUCAUUUUUGUCUACCCACACAAUCUUUAAUAAUCAAAUAAAUUAAAUGAUGUAAUCGUUGACCACUCCCGUAUAUCCUCGAUCCAGCCGCAUUGAAUACUAAUAACCUAUGCCUUCAAGGCUUCACUCAUUUCACACUUGAGGGUCUAGUCCGUUGGUUAACUGCAAGACUUGUCUUUGUGAAUAUUUUGGGUUCGAUCCUCAAGAGUACCAGUCUGUCACCCCCGCGGUGCUUUACCUGUCUACUAGGCUUGCAGGAUGUUCAGUAGGUUCUGGGAUUAGUUGUGGUGCGCGUAAGCUGACCCGGACAUCCAGGGUCAUAAAAAAAAAAAAAAGCUUCACUCAUUUCUUGUCUUUUGUCUAUACAUGUAUAUGUAUAGGUUAGUAAGUGUCUAGAACCAAAUGUAAUAUUAAGAGACGUAUGUUGAUUUACUUUGUAGUUUUUGAAAGGUAAUAUCUAUUUGUUAUUUUAAAGCUUAUGAAUCUCUCGUCAAUAAUUAACUCCAACUCUUAUGUGAAUACGUGAAUGAGGUGUUUGAGAUUAUAGUAAUUAUUUUUUAAAAUAUUUUUUUAUUUGAAAAUAUAUUAAAAUAAUUUUUUUUUAAAAAAAUAUUAAUAUUAACACAUCGAUUUAAAAAUAUUAAAAAUAAUAAUAAAAAAAAAACAAUUCAAAUUUUAGCCAACGGCUAAGCAAACUCUAUGCAAGCGUUUUAAGUUAUGUGCAGGGAUUUCUAUAAAAUUGAAUUAAUCAUUCUAAAUUAAAUACAAGGAUCUCUAUAAAUAUCGUUUUAAAUUACAGAUUGACCAUUGCAAUGAGAUCAGAAGGAAUGGCAGAGAUUUUAUUUUCUAAUAAAUCUGCAUAUGAGUUUCCGCUUUUCCUAACAUGAACAAAAAGCAUUUCCUGGAGCUUCACUGGUUUGUUCUGACCAGCACAUUUCUUUCUCAUGAUGAUGAAAGACAGACCGGUUCAGGAGUUGAUACAGCCCUAGACUAAGGUUAAGGGUACUUGAGCGAGUUGAUCUAAAAGUUGUCCAGUUAACCCAUAUUAUAAUUUAAAAAACCCUUAAAACAAUAUCCUUUCAAGAUUUUUUUUUAUUUAAAUAAACAAUGUCAUUUUGGUAUAAAAAAUAAAAACAAACCCUACCAAAUCAAAUUUCAAGUCAGCAAGUCGCCGAAUCAAUUCAAUCGAGUAAGAAUAUGGAUUGGCCCCAAAGGGUUUGCUGGAGUUUGAAAACUAAAAGAACGAACUUUUUUAAGAAACUUGAGCUAAAAGCCCAACAACCAAAUAGAUAAAUAUAUUACCAGAGUUUCCCAGUUCCCUCAAGCCUCAUAAUUAAUGCCCUUGGAGUUAUUUUGUCAUACAAUUCUUCCCAUCACAAGAGGUAUAAUUUCAUAAAGGAAAUAAACAAGAGAUCCUUGAUUCAAACACAAUUUAAUAACUCAAAAAUGCUACAAUACAAUGCUUACAACAAUCAUCCUCAUAAAAAAAAACUACCAGAAGUGAAAACAACGAUUCUCAUAGAGAAACUUCAAAAUAAAUAAAAACUGAUCGUCCAAUCAACGAUAAAUUUAUAUUUAUCGUGUCCAUAAUAAAUACAGACAACAACUAUAUUUAUUGUUUAAAUCCGAAGAAGAAAGGGCUGCAAAAUAAGAAAGUGAACAUUAUGUAGAUGGCUUGCUGUCUGUCAAGCGGCUCAUUCAUGCUGUAAGGACCAUAGAAGUAGCUCAUACAAGCAGGACAGUGGCUAGAAGUAUGAACAGUUGGUGGACAUCCUGAAGGGGCAGAGUUUAAAGCUCGAUCAAACCAUUGAGAACCAAGGGGCCCAGAUUAAUGAUAUAAGGCACAUGAUGAGAACCAUGGCACAACAAAUAGAGUUUACCCUGUUGAAACUCUCUCAAGCUCCAGGAAGCUCUAGUCACAACACUGAGAGGCCAAUUCCAAGUCCAGAGAGAGUUGAAUUCAAGAACAAGGAGCCUCAUGAGGAUAGACUGUCGUCCUAUAUGGUACACACACCCAAACAUUUUUUCUCUACUUUCUAUGGGGAAGAUGUGCACAAAUGGCUUUUUAAAUGCACACAGUAUUUUGAGAUAGAAGAGGUUGCUGAUUCAAAAAAAUUACAAAUUGCAUCUUAUUAUCUUAAUGGAGUUGCUUUUUAUUGGCAUCAAAACUUCCUUAAAAGUUUGGGAAACUAAAAGCCCUCUUGGAAAGAUUAUGUGGAAGCCAUAUGCUACCGGUUUGGGGGCCAGCAAGACCCUCUAGAGGAAUUGAUGGAGUUGAAACAACGAGGAGAGUUGGAGGAAUACAUCUAGGACUUUGAUAUUUUAUGGAACAAGGCUAAAGUAAGUGAGAAACAAGCCUUGGUUAUCUUCUUAGGGGGACUAGAAACAGAGAUUAAAAACACAGUCAAGAUGUUCAAACCAAAAACCCUUAGACAUGCAUAUAACCUGUCUCGAUUACAAUCCAAUAUCCAAACAUACAGGAAAUCCUCAGCCUAUGUCAGGAGACCACACAGUGUUUUCCAACACCAUCCUGUGCCAGCCACAACUACUUGUCCACCACAUUCCACAACCAACACUACAAACCCUCAUGUACCUCCAUAAAAAGCCACUCCUAAUCCAUGGACUAAUAACCUUGGUAGUAGCUACACAAAAACCUACACAAAACCCACCAAAUCCAUUUGAAACCAAGACUUUGAGGAUAAAAGACUAAAGGGGUUGUGUUUUUGGUGCGAUGACAAGUUUGUGCCAAGACACCACUGUAAGAAUAAAAUGGUGUAUUCACUAAGUGUUGUGGAGGAAUAAGAGGGAGUAAUGAAGGAAGAGGUGAUCGAAGACAGAGUUAAUGAAAGAGAUCUCACACCCCAUAUUUCCUUAGAUGCCUUGGAAGGAACCAUGGGACUAAAGACUAUGAAGGUCAAUGGCAAAAUAGAUAAGACUAUAGUUUGUAUUUUGAUAGAUUCAGGCAGCACCCACAAUUUCCUAAACACCACCUUAGCCCUUAAACUACAGUUCCAGUUGACAGCCAUAAAACCCAUGAUAGUUCAAGCAGCCAAUGGGGAGAAUAUGAUAUGCAAAUCCAUAUGCAGGGGACUCGGGUGGAAAAUGCAGGGGAUAAGCUUCUGAACAGAUGUCUAUAUUAUUGAACUUAGCAAUUGCAAAAUAUUAUUGGGGAUACAAUUGCUAUCCACGUUAGGGGACAUCUUAUGCAACUACAAACACCUAUGGAUGUCAUUUGAUUGGCAGGGGGAGAGAGUCUUACUUAAAAGGGAAAAUCCACCCAAGUUCCAAACCAUUGAACUAAAACAGUUGAGUUCUAUAGUUGGCAAUCAGGUGCAAGUGGCUAACUACUUCUUAUGUAGUUUAAUGACAGUUGAGGAUGGAGAAAAAGAGGCAACAGGCACAAAAACAAAUACCACUUUGUUCCCUGACAUCAAGGAUACUGAUAUGCUAAGUCUCCUUCAAUCCUACCAAUAUUUAUUCCAUGAACCGAAGGGAUUACCACCACCUAGAGCUCACAACCACAAAAUUCCAUUGAAAGGCCCAAUCGAUACUCUGGACUCCAGAAGGAAAUUCUCGAGAAGAUGGUGAAAGAAAUGCUUGAAGCUAAAAUUAUCAGAACCAACAACAACCCAUUCGCAUCACUAGUCAUUCUGGUGAAGAAAACAGACUCCACUUAGAGGUUUUGUGUCGAGUAUAGAGCCUUAAACAAACUCACUAUCAAAGACAAAUACUCCAUUCCAAUGAUUGAAGAACUACUGGAGGAAUUGGUGGGCGCAACAACAUUUUCAAAGAUCGAUCUUCGAUCAGGGUACCACUAAAUCCGAGGGGUCGGGGCAGUCCUAAAUGGCCAUCUCAUUGAUUUCCUAAGCAAAUCCUUGGGUCCAAAACAACAAAUCAUGUAUGUCUACGAGAGGGAAAUGCUGACAAUCCUACAAGCAGUCACUAAAUGGAAACACUAUUUGUAGGGCAGACACUUUCACAUCUGUACUGAUCAUAUUAGCCUAAAAUACCUCCUACACCAAAAACUGACGACUCCUGCCCUGCAUGUAUGGUUAGUUAAACUCUUGGGUUAUGACUAUGACAUAGAAUACAAGCAAGGGAAGGAGAAUGUUCCUGCAGAUGCACUCUCUAGAAUUCCAAGUAAAGAACUCUAUGCAUUGACUACUUCAACCAUUUCUACAACUUUUAUGGAGGAGAUUGUGUAGUCUUAUGACAAUGAUCCCAUAAUUCAAACUCUCAUUCAAGAAUUGUAGCAAUCUCCAGCUUCUCAUCCACACUAUACGUGGGUUAAUGGCCAUCUUAACAGAAAGGGGAAGAUAGUGGUAGCAACACGCAUGCGUUAGUGCUUGAGUGUUGCUCAGCCCAGCCAGGUCACUGGCUUGGGCUAGUGACCGGGCCAGGAUGGCGGGGUCCAACCUAAAAAAAAUAAAAAAAAUUGAAAAUAAAAAGUUAAAAAAUAAAAAAUAAAAUGUGUAUGCAUGAAUAAAAAUAAUAUAAAUUUAUUGGUUUAUUCACUGACGCCAGAGUCAAGAAUAAAAAUACCGGUUUAAAUUUAUAUUAUUCAUUGUAUUUUAUUUUAUAUAGCUAGAAAAAUAAAAAAAUAUGUGCAUGCAUAAAAAUAAAUUUAUUUUAUUUGUUUAUUCACUGACGCUAGAUUCAUGAAUAAAAAUAUUGAUCUAAAUUUAUUUUAUAGCUACGUAAUAUUUACCAACGCGAGAGUUGGAAGUAUCCGUAGUUGAAUAUUCACCGGCGCCAAAGUUAGGAAUAUUAUAAGCAAAUUAUCAUAGCGUAAACUAAUAAAUGUUUAGCAAUUUAAGACAAAACUAGCAAUGCAGUCUACCUUAGGUAGAACAGACGUUUAAGGGGUAAUAAUAUAUUUCCUUUUACGUAACCAGUCCUGAACCAUAGAAUCUUUGUUAACUAGUUAGGGUUUCUAGUGACCAUAAUACUAGGUGGCGACUCCUUAAACAUGACCGUUCCCCAUCAAAGAAUAGGAUGCCAGAAAUCCAUCCUUUUCCAAAUACUAAUUUUUAAGGCCACCGUGAUGUCGGGUGUGACACAAUGUAUGUCAAAGAAACAAACAUGAAAAUAUGGCUAGCCCAGGUCUUCUACAGCCACUGCCUAUUCCGUAUGCACCAUUCAUCAAUAUAAGUAUGGAUUUCGUCGAAGGCCUAUCCAAAUACGAGGGAAAGGAUGUUAUUAUGGUGGUGGUGGAUCAGUUCAGUAAGUAUGCUCACUGCCUUGCACUAAGUCACCCCUAUUCUGUUCCUACGAUUGCUAAGAUAUUUAUGGACAAUAUAUACAAACUAUAUGGGUUACCAGCAUCUAUCACUAGCGACAAGGAUCUAGUAUUUCUCAGCAUGUUUUGAAAGGAGUUGUUCAAUAUCCAAGGCGUGGAUCUUUACUAGUCUACAGCAUACCAUCCGCAGACUGAUGGUCAGACCAAAAUUGUCAACAAAUACAUCGAACACUACCUAAGAUGUAUGACCAUAGAUCAUCCUCACCAAUGAACAAAAUGGCUUCCCCUCGCAGAGUGGUGGUACAACACCAAUUAUCACUCAGCUACCAAGAUGACACCCUGCGAAGUGUUAUACAGGGUUCCUCCUCCCAUACACAUUCCUUACUUCCUUAGGGAUUUUGUAGUGGAGUCAGUGGAUGCAUAUCUAACUACUAAAGAAAACCUGAUUAAGAGAGUUUGGUCACACCUACAGACAACUCGGCAUAGAAUGACUACAAUUGCAAACCGGAGGUGGAGUGACAUAAGUUUUAAGGUGAAGGACUAUGUUUAUCUCAAGCUUCAACCAUACAGACAACAAUCUACAGCUGCUAGAGUUUCACACAAAUUAGUUGCGAAAUACUACUGUCCUUACCAGGUGUUAGCAAAGGUGGGAAACGUGGCAUGUAAGCUCAAUCUGCCACCAUCUUCAAUGAUUCAUCUAAUUUUCCAUAUAUCUCAACUCAAGAAACAUGUGGGCAACCAGAUAGUGCAGUAGACCCUAUCGGCACCACACAUAACACCUUACCUGUAACUAAGAGCCAUAUUAGACAGACAUUUAGCAAGACAAAAUCACAAAGCUACCACCCAAGUUCUAGUCCAUUUGGAGGGACUACCUCCUGUUGAUGUCACGUGGGAAUUCACUGAUGAAUUAUGAAUGAGGUUUUCGAGUUUCAACCUUAAGGACAAGGUUGGAUUUAAGGAGGGGUGAUUGUUACCAACCAAAGAUGAAGAAGAGGAUUGAUAUGAGAUUCAAAUUAAGUUACCGUUACUAGAAACACACCAUUUCAUUAAGCCAUUAAAUUGCACCGUUUUGUAUUUUCCUUUAAACACAUCAUUUUGAUUAAAUGUAAUAAAUCCAUCAGAAGCAGCUGAGGGUAGUCUAGAGAAGCUUCAGCUAUAUAUACAUGUAACAGACUGUAUGAGUUUUUACAUGAAAAAAAAAAAGAGAAAUGAAUGACUCUCUUGCAAUCUAGGAAUGUUAACAAACUUACCACUGUCACCAAGCUACCCACACCCUCGUCAUGUUCACACACUGAACCCUACCAUUUCUUCCCUGCUAAGCUUCCUCCUACUCAAACCUGCCAGGCAGAACCAAUAUUGUUUGGAUCAUUGAACAUUGCACACGUAACACAAGACUGUUACAUUGAUGAUGGAGGCUCAUCGUGGGGCGCAGGGUGGCAUUUCCUCUUCUAGUUUGGUCUGCUUAAGAAGAUGAAUAGUGUCCAUUGAAGCGGCACCGUUUUCGGACGAGAAUAGCCAUUUUCAAUUUGGUAACUGACAUUCUGCAAUUUUGUAAUCAAGUCCCCUGGUAAAUUAUAAUUAAGCCCUUUAAGUUUAUCACUAUGUACAUAAUGGUCCCUUAAUUUAAUUUCUUGCCAUUUUAACCCGAAUCAGCCCCAAACUUUGGUAUUUCUUCAAUUAAGCCCCUGGUUUCAUUAAUUAAACUAAUUUCAAGUUCAAUUAAGUCCCCAUACUUAUCUAUUAUUCAAUUAAGCUCUUGAUUGGAUUAAUUAAACUAAUCCAAAGUUUAAUUAAGUCUUCAAAGUUCCAAUUUAUAUUCUCUUGACUCAAAUUUCAAUUUAUUCUUCAUUCAUUUCAUUUUUUUUUCUUUUUUCAUCAUCCUUUUUUUCCAUUUUUUAUAUCAUCACUUUCCCAAUUUUUUUUCAUCAUCUUUUUUUUUAAAAAAUAAAUAAAUAAAAAUAAAAAAGUAAAAAUUGGGGCACAUAUAUGUGUGUGAGUGUAUAUAUAUAUAUAUAUAUAUAUAUAUAUAUAUAUAUAUAUAUAUCAAUUUCAAUGCAUAUUACCUCAUGAAAAAUAAAAAGGUUUCAUUAUAUUUUUUCUCUUAUAUAAAUGAUUCCAAUAUUAUACGUCAAAUAAGAAAAUAUGAAAAUCCAUAUCCUUUGAUUUGAUAAACAAAUUCGAGGGGCUUAAUUUUUAAUUGUUAAGGGGCAUAAUCAUGAAAAUAUGUUCUCUUUGUCUCUAAUAACUUUAUUUUUUCUAUUUAAGAAUGGUAACAAAUUGCUAUCUUUUUUUAUAACAAUAAUACAGACUAUUAAAAAAGAAAAAUAUUUCAUCACAUAGUUAUGUAUGAAUAAUAUAAAUGCUGUAAAAAAAUUGAUGUACGAAAUGCACAAUCUCCCACUGGGAUCUACUUGUCAUUCAGCAAUAUUAUUCAAACAUCUGUGUGGAAUCUCGAUGUUCAAUGUUUGUGACUGUCUCCACCCUUGCCUUUUUUUUCACAUGUUUCUAGGAGAAUUGAAUAAAUUGGCUGGAUUGAUCAAUGUUAGAUCGGAGACAGCUGGGAUCCGAGUCAAGAAAGCGUAUUUUUUAUUCAUUAAGCAGCCAUACGCCAAUAUGCUAUCAUGUUUCUAUCGAGAUUCCUUUACUUUAAUGUUAUAAAAAAUGAUAUGAAUCGGAAAAUGUACAAAAAAGAAUAUCAUUCUCAAUUAAAACAUUCAAAGGUCAUUAAUUAAAUUUUAUGUUUAAUUUUAUUAGAAAAAAUAAAAGUAAUUGAAACCUCAAAAAAAUAAAACAUGGAUACGAUAUCAAAUAUUUAUCCCAAUCCAAACAUUCAAAUGAUUGACUGAAACCACAAAACUGGUUUUAUAUUAAAUCUCUGCAUCUAAACCAUUAUCUAGGAUACAACUCAGUAAUUGAAACCUCAUUUUCGGACAAAGGGAUCAUAGCUUCAGAUUCAGAUAGCGAGGACUCAGUCACCCUUGAAUUAUGCCCCAUUGAGGAUGACAGAUCUGAUUGAUAUGUGCUGCUGUUCAUAAAAAAUGCAGGUUGAGAAGGUAUUUGCAAUGCGAGGGAAGAGCUGCUUAGCAUGAGAACUACUGAAGCCAUUGUCGGCCUUUCAGCUACAUUUUCUUGAACGCAGAGUAACCCAAUGUGGAUGCAUCUCAUCAUUUCUGUGGCUGAGCCACUACUCAAAACGGGAUCUAUCAUAUCUUGAGCAGUCCCUUCCCUCCAGUUUCUCCAUAUACAAAAUUUAUCCAAAGUGAAUUCACAAUAUUGAAGGGCUUGCAGAUAUCCCUAUAAAGCCUUAAAUAACGUGUUUGAUUUGUGGAUUGUUCUAUACUUACAUGGCUCAUCAGGUGCUCUAUGUCAUUUCCAUUGCGAAAACUAUUUUUUUUACCAGUCACAAUCUCCAAAACUAGCACGCCGAAACUAAAUACGUCUGACUUGACCGAGAAGUGUCCUUGCAUUGCAUAUUCUGGAGCCAUAUAGCCACUGUUUAUCAUCAACGAAAGUUUAAUAUUAUUAGAUUCGACAAUGUUAACAAUGUUUAACAUCUUUUAUACUGUUCGGAUUUUUCAUUUCUUCUUCUUUGAUACAAUGCAAUAAAGGAUGAGCUUAAUAAAUGCUAAUUAUGCUGUUCAUCAUGUUCAGAUACUUACUAGGUCCCACAAUUCUACUUGUAUUGCCUUGAGUUUGAUCCACUACGAACAACCUCGCCAUGCCAAAAUCUGAGAUUUUCGGAUUCAUCUCUUCAUCUAACAAAAUGUUGCUGGCUUUGAGGUCACGAUGAAUGAUUCGAAGUCGAGAAUCCUCGUGAAGGUAAAGGAGCCCUCGAGCAAUUCCUCCAAUAAUCUUGUAACGUCUUUCCCAGUUCAAAUGCACACGCCUGGUUGGAUCUACAUUUCAAGGAAUCGCAUGGCUCAAGUUACUCAAGGGAAAGAGUACGAGAUAUAUUCAUUAAUUUGCGCUUCUUAUAUCGAAGGAGACUCAAUUGCUUAUAAUACAAUUGUAAAUUAGCUGGUUCCUAGCCUUACCAAAUAUGAAGUGAUCAAGGCUCGCAUUAGGCACAAACUCAUAGAUAAGAAGCCUUUCAAUUCCUUGAAAGCAGAAACCUAGAAGCCUGACUAAAUUCCGGUGCUGGAGUCUUGCCACCAAUAAGACUUCAUUUUUGAAUUCCAAAUCUCCUUGCCCAGAGUCCUUGGAAAGUCUUUUCACAGCAAUCUCUUGUCCGCUAGGAAGUGCUCCCUGAAAUCAUAUCAAUCCAUCACUCCCUGUAUCAUCUUGAGCAUUGCGAUUUAACUAUAUGUAUGUAGCAGUAUAUCCUUUACUACCUUGUAAACAGCACCAAAUCCACCUUGUCCCAGCUUAUUUUUCUCCGAAAAGUCCUCUGUUGCAUCUCGAAUGGCGCUGAAUGCGAAUUGCAAUGAUUCUGCACUUUCUAUUUCGUCUACAGCUUCAAAAGUUGAACAAGUUAGCAUGCACGGAAACAUAAUUGCUUUGGAAAUUAAGGAAGAAACGUAAAUUGUAUUUAGUUAGUGUCACGGGAUAAAAAAGAAUAGAUAAAAAAAAUAAAACAAAUGUAUUUAUUUUUAAAAUAAAAAAAUAAGAGCCCCUCUCAUCGUCUAUUUCAAUACAAUUCAACGACCAAAUACUAUCUUCAGGCAACCAGAUUAUUACUUACUUUCAAUCCUUUCCUUUUCCCUUUGCUUUCGUAUUCUUAUGAAUAGGCACAUGCAGAUGACGAGUAUCACAGCACCGACAGCUGGGACAACAGUAAUGACAAUGAUCCGAGCUGUGUUGCUCUUCGUUCCUGCAUAAACCAAUGUGGACAGUCCCAAUGAUUGAGGCCUUAUGACCCACAGCAAAGUUGUCCCCAUGACUCGCAAAAGCUUAAAAAUCAGCUAAUUUUUAUUUCUUUUAAAAGAAUAUAUUCUAAACCAUAAAAAAUAAUAAACAGAUUUUUAAGGUUAAUUAAAUUACAAUAACUCCUAUUAUAAAAUUAUAGAAAACAUUUAAAAUUUUGAAUAUUUGACAAAACACCUUGACUAUAUCCAAAAUAUCUUUAAUUGCUGUUUUAAAAAAAUAGUUAAAUAAAAAAAAUUCCAAAAGUAGAUAAAAAAAUAAAAAUAAGAAAUAAGAAAUGGCUGAAAUUAAUAUUGCUGAUGUACUAAUAAAAUAACCAAGUCCCAUUUUUUAUAUUCUUUCUCUAAUUUGUUUAAUUUUUCAAUUUAAAUAUCUUUUCAAAUGCAUUUGGAUAAAGCUUCUGUAAUAUGUUUUUAUAUAUGAAAAUUAAAGGCUUUUUCCUUGAUGAUCUCUAUAAUUUUAUAAUAUCUCAAGAAGGUUAUUGUAAUUUACUCUACUGUUAAUAUUAAUUAAUUAAACAUGGUACAAGCACUCCUACUUUUCUUUUUUUUGCCAUACCUAAUUAAAAUUGAAUGAUUUAAGGAUCAUUAAACUAUAAAAAUUACUAAAUCAAAACAUCAAAAUCAAAGUGCAGGAGGGAGUUAAUAACAAUCCAAGGCCUACCUUGUGCUGGUGCGGGAAGAGAUGUAGGUGAUGAUAUUUGUGGUGGUGGAGGUGAUGGUAAUAUCUCAAGUGUACCAUUAAAAAACUGUUCAGCCUCCCACCUCAAAUUGCAGCUUGGUCUUAUGAGUUUAGCUCCAAUCUUCCCUUGUACUUUCCCAUCACAACAGUUUGUAAUCAUCCGAAAAAGGUCAAGCAGGCAACUGGAGCACUGCCCCACAGACAAGUCAGGCGUGCAUUGAACAAUAGCAUAUAUUGUUUCAACUCCAGCACUUUGGUUUCCAGUUGCGAACUUCUUUAAAGAGUUCCCUGAUGCAGCUUUGGCUCGAAGUCUGAAAAAUAAUGUUUGGAGUGCCUGAUUAAAUAGAGUUAAAUCCAAAACUUUCUUUCCACUCCACUGGUAGUAAGAUGGUUGUUCAGCCAAAACACCGAAUAUAGAACUGUUUGAGUAUCGUAUCAUACAGAAUGCGUAAACUCCAUAUGCCACCAUCUUGUUAGGACAAACCUCUAAGAUCUUAUGAGUAGAGUCAUUAACGCAACUUCGACAAACAUCAACCGCAACGUCGCCUCUGCAUAGUGCAAUUGCAUUUACUCGGUCGGGAAAUUCGCCAACGGAUAGAUUGUAAAAUCCGUAGUCAAUUUGAGUGUCGGAUGCUAGGGAGGACAGAAGGCUGUUGAGGUUUCUUUGGUACGUGCUAUUAGUUGUGUAGUUGCCGACGCUGUUGUAGUUACAGUUAGAAUAAGCGAAGUUCGGCUGAGCAGCUGUAAGGGAAGGUUGGUGUAGAAGGAUGUAAGAGAACGAAAGUAGAAGCACUAAUUUUGAAGAAUCCAUUGGCACCGUGCUUGCGUACAUGGUGAAGUGGUAUGGCCUUGUGAUAUUUAAUUGUUGGUAUAAGCCCAUAUAUGGUUUUUAUUUUUAAUUAAUGAACUGUUUUCUUAUUUAUUUAUUAAGGACACCUACUUUGAAUUGACCAUAAAAUACAUGGCACUCGGCACCUUGACGAGAAUUGGCAACGUGCAAAAAGGCUCUUUUAGAGAUCUCUUAACAGCUACAAUGACGGGGAUAACCUUUACACUCAGCAGCCAUACAAAGUCAGCAACUUUUAAAGAUAAAAAAAAUAAACCCUCAAAGCGGGGAACUCUUGAAGGGGCUGGGCUUUUCCUUGCAGAUAAUGGUGCCGUGUUCAAUGCCUAUGCUCAAACCCGAUAUUUAAAAAUCCAUAACUAUAAAUAAAAUUAUAUAUUUAUUAUUAUUUUUACUAAUUACUAUAUCCUUAAUAGAAUAGUAAUUUCAAUCCUACCACUAAUUAAGAAAAAAAUCAAUAGAAUAAAAUCAUUAAAAAGAAAUUAUUAGCACUAUAUAUUAAAACAAAAGAGACAUUAAGAAGAUAUAGUUUCAACAUUUAUUUUCCCUGAAUGAAGAAAGAAAAACAUUAAAAAAAUGUACAAAUUGGUAGCAAGCAAUUGAUUGAGAAAGAACAUCAACAUGGAACAACUUGGACAAGUUGCCCUGAGCGCCAACGGUCUUGGCAAACUAAACGCGGAAUUUCUUGUAUUUUUCCAUGAAUGAAGAAAGACAACUUGAGCCAGCCCUACAAUUCUGACUUAUUGACCAACCCACCACACACUUGUGCUAGCUGAAGCUGCCGGCAAACUUCCAAAAUGAGAAAAAAUUGUGAAAUCCCAUAAGUUUCUGAUUGCUAGGUGUGGUACGAAUCUAAACCGAAGUCUGGAAACUAUUCAAAAUCCUCCUUGUUCUUGAAAGGUUUCACAUAUUUAAGUCCUUCUAAAAUGGCCACCCCAUAACGGAAAUGACAGCCUUCAGUUUACUAUUUUCAAUUGAAACGGUGGCCGUUGAUUUGUCCAAAGAACUUUGAUAUUUUAUUGUGACUAUAACACCAAAUUGUUUUGUAUAAAAAGGGGAAAAAUGCAUAAUUUGCAUCAUUAUUUGAAAUAACCUCACAUGAGCAUAUGGUCAUCUAUUGAUCACAUUUGGUAGUUAUUUAAUUAAAAAUUACGAAGUCAAGUUCGGCCAUUUUUAUUUUCUUCUCAAAUAACUUCAAAAUUACGAAGUCAAGUCGUGUUCUCUCUUUAUGUUACUGUCUUCAGCUUUCUCCAGCAUCACAUACCUUCUGUUACCUUCUGUUAGUGGUGGAGGAGAGUACCUUGGUGAUGCUUGUUGUAACCUAAAUUUUGACCCAUUUUCUUUUUAAUCUUAUUUCAAAGGGCUAAAAUUUGAAAUUAAAAGAUCAGGGCUUGAAUAAAAAAUUUAGAAACUUCAGGGACCAAAUUGAAAAUAGUCAUGCCUCGUCCAAAACGGCACUGCUUCAAGCAUACACAAUUCUUCUUCUUCUUCUUCUUCUUCUUCUUCCUCUAACACUGCAAAUCCGCCUGCAAAGAAGGGAAGAAAUUAAAAUGCCAGCAUCCUAGUCCUAUCAAAACACAAAAGAUCAAUCCUUAUCUUCAUGAUGUUCACAACCAGGGGAGACAAGGAUUGAAUAUUGCGUCCGCGUCUCAGCAGAAACCGACUCCCCAAGCCGUGCUUAUCAGGAGGAGAGAAGUAAGCUGAGCAAAUAAGGGUGAUCCCUAUAAAUACCAGAGAAAUCAACGAGGAGGAAAGAGGGGAGCAAAACGAUUGAAGAGAAAACAGAGUAAAACAAUUAAGCAAAUAAUAGAGUAAGGCAAUUGAGAGAGAACAGAAGAGGAGACCGAGAGAGAGAACGGAAGAACUAGGAAAGUAACACAGGGGAAAGUAAACCAAAAACAAGAGAGAGAGGGGAGUGAGAUUGAAAAGGAAAGCAAAGAGUAGGACGUUCUUCGACCAGAGCUAGGAUCAUCACCCUCGUCUUCGUCUCCGUUGCUGUCUUCACCCAGGUAAGCAUUCUUCCUCCUGCCCUGCAAUUCCAUUUCCAAGUUUUGUUCAAAAACAGUGCUAAGGUAAAAUUGAGUGCACGCUAGAACUAGUUCACAUGUGCAUGCUUUUUGGGCCGGUUACUAGCCUAAGCGAGUAACUGGACCGGGUUGGCUGGCUCCAACCCAGCCUAUAUGACUAGGCUCGAUCUAGCCCAAAAAAAAAUAAAAAAAAAAUAAUAUUCAUAGAAAAAGUGUAGAAAAAUUGUUUCUUCAUUAAAAAUUUAAAAUUUUGCAAAAUUAUUCACUAACACCAGAGUCAGGAAUAUCGUAUUUUUUGGAUUUGUGCGAUAUUUACUAAUGACAGAGUUAGAAAUAUUUAUAGGAAUUAUUUAUUGUCACAAGAGUUAGGAACAUGAAAGGAAGAAUAAAAAAGAAAAAGGAAAACAAAUUCUUAGCAAUUUUAAACAAAUCAAACAAUGCAGUCUGUCUGAGAUAGAACACUUAAGAGGUGAUAACAUCUUUCUUUUUGCGUAAUCAGUCCCGUAUAAUAGAAUCUUUGUUGACCAGUUAGGGUUUCUAAUAACCAUAAUACUAGGUGGCGACUCCUUAAACUAGAUAUUUUCCUCCUAAAAAAAAUAAGAUACCAGAUAUCUAUUCCUUUUCCAAUCGAGAUUAUUUUUAAUCGGUUACCGUGAUGUCCUGGUGUGACAGAAUAAGGACUUCCCUAGGAACCUCUUAGGACUAAGCUUUGCCUUUUUCCAAUCGACAAUCUUUUACUCCAAUAUCUCCUCUAUUAAGUGCAAUUGCAUUUGCUCGUGAGGGUCGGCAACCCAGUAAUGGGAGGGACCCAAAACGGAUAGUAUACGACAAGGGUGGAGCCACCAUACUUCCAGGCUCAGAAGUGGGCUCGCGUCACCAGAAAAAAAAACCGUGAGGGCGGUAACACCCAAAGUGGACAAUAUACAGCAUGCUGGGCCGAGUUGUUACAUUUGGUAUCAGAGUCGACCUCACUAAUUGUCUGGUUGUGCUGACGAGGUCGUCGGGCUCCUUAAGGGGGGUAGAUUGUAAUAUCCCACAUCGGCAAGUGAGGCUUUGGUAGUUGGCCUUAUUAGUAGUGCUGAUUGCUAACAUGUUGUAUGUGUUUAAAACCGUGAGGGUUGGCAACCUGGUUCUGGGAGGGACCCAAAGUGGACAAUAUCGACAGGUUUAGGCCGCUGCGAUACUUUGGAGUACGUGUUUAAAACUGUGAGGGUCGACAACCUAGGUAUGGGAGGGACCCAAAGCGGAUAGUACACGACAGGGGUGGGGCCCGCCACACUAGAGUAUGUGUUUUGGGGCGUAAGGCUCAAAAGUGAGCUCGCGUCACUAGGAAUAAAACCGUGAGGGCUGUAAGAUCCAAAAUGGACAAUAUACAGCAUAUUGGGUCGGGUUGUUUCAAAAAUAAAAUGGUACAAAAUUGAAAUAUGUAAAAAUAAACUUGAAUAAUAUAAAAUCCAACUAUUCAUUACAAAUUUAUAUAUUUAAAUAAAAAUUAAACUAGAACAAUGUCGACGCUGGAGGAGGAGGAGGAGGAGGCUAGUCGUUCGUGGAAUCAUAUGGCCAAAAAGAUAGUGCAUACAUACCACCUAUCUGUGAUCUCAUGUCCAGGACCAUUUUGCGGAGUUGUUCAUAAUCCGCCGAGAGUUGCUCAUAUUUUUAUGUGAGAUGAGUUGUAUGAUGUUGCAAGGCCAUGAACUAUUGAGAUUAGGUGCUUGAUAUCAACUUGGAGCUUCUAUUAGUUGAGACACUAUGGCCCGCCCGCAAGUUCUCGACCAUAGUGUUAGAGAGUCCGUACACUUGAUUUCUAUCGAGUCUACCAGACUAUCUUGCCUCCAUCCAUAAAUUCGGAUCGAAAUCUAUGUGGGUCGAAGGAUCGUCCCCAUAUCUCUCCCUCAAUCAGCUGUUAUAUGUCUCCUGGAAAUGAGACCUAAAAUCAUCAAAUUCAAUUUAAAAUAAUAACUUACAAAAAAAAAUAUUAUCGCAAAGUGUUGAGCGUGGUUGUCGAUGGAUUGUUACACCUCUUUUUGGUGGGCUUCACUUCGCACCUGUGUCUCCACAAAAAGCUUCAUUGGGCUUGACUCACGCCCAAGAGUUGCAGCCUAUAAGAAAAAUAAUGUUGCAAGUUAAAUAUAUUUAUAAAUAACAACAAAUUAAUUAAAGAUAGGUGUAAUUAAAAAUAAUCUUACAAUCCGCUUCGAUUGCGAAACGAUAUAAACAGAGUCGCUGGUGUGCGUGGUAACUAAGCUGUGAAUUUGCUAGCUCCAGUUCCCCGCAUCAGACAGCAAGUGUUGCGUGAAAUGCUCAGACGUCACAUGCUGAAUAUAUUCCACCCAUAUAUCCUUCGGGAUGUAUGGCGGCCUGAAAUCCCUCCAAAACCACCACGCCAUUCUAGCCAAACAGAGCGUUUUCCCUAGCAUAUUUUUGUGCCUCAUACCAAAAAUCACACAACCUACAUGAUACAAACAUAUUUUAUGAGUUAAUGACAAAUGCAAUUUUAAUAUUUAAAACAAAAAAUAAUUAUCAUAUUGUUUUCAUCGUUACCUGCUAGUCGCAGUAUGAUUCUCUCAAACCCUCUACGCAACAUUGUCUUUUUCUCUAUCCCAUUCAAAUUUAUCCUUGCAUUAACAAUUUAUGAAAAAUAAAUCAAUAUUCUAAAUAAAGUAUCCGAAUUUACUUAAAAAAAAGUAGUAAAACUUUUAAGGUAACACUAGCUUGAAAUCUUGAAAACCAUGCAUCGACAUGAGGGUUCCAAUCAGGAUGCCUGCAAAUCUAAAUCCAUUGAAACAAAGGAAUCUCCAUUGACAAUUUAAACGCCGAUGUUAUUAAUUACCCGGGUAGCCUCAAUAUUUUUGAACCUGAAAAUCGAUAAAAUUAAUGAAAUAUUAGUUGUUCAUAAAUUGUUAAACACAAACAAACUCAAAGCAAAACAAACUUACAUUGAAAGAUUAUCCUUCCAAUGCGCCACGUACUUCCACGUGAUUUGAUUACGUUGUAAAAGGACACCGUCUCUACGUUGUGAAACAACACUGGAAGAGGCAGUGUCGUGUGUCGAUGUAGGUGCCUCUUCUUGCUUAGCACCUAAUGACAUGUUGUCAUCAUCGCUACUAGAAGAACUAGCUGCAAUCAUGUGCUCACAGUGUGAAGUUGAUUUUUCCCUAUGCAUUUACACAAAUUUAAUGAAUAUUAGCAUAAUCUAUUUUUAUUUUUAAAAAAAAUAAAAUUGGCAGUACCUCCCCUAUAUUGGAGACUACCAAGAAUUUUCAAUCCUGUAAAUAUACAAAAUAUUUGCCACAAACCAGUUGAUUUUAAUUUAUUUCUACCAACAAUUUUGGAUUAUUCAAUUUCAUCUUAUUUUCAACAUGAUAAUGUUUUUAAUAAAGAAUUGACAAGAAUUCUUUGUAAUUAAAUUUAAUCCUAUAUAUUCAACUAUUUAUAUUACAAAUUUGACAAUAACAAUUAAAAUUCAACAAACACAAUAAAACAUUAUUGCAAUGUAGACAAUAAAAUAGAAAAAAAAAAUUAAACCUAUAUAUUCAAUUAACAUUUAUAUAUUGAAUUUAACAAUAACAAUUAAAAGUCAACAAACACAAUAAAAUAUUAUCAAUAUGUAGACAAUAAUAUAUAUAUAUAUAUAUAUAUAUAUAUAUAUAUAUAUAUAUAUAUUCAAUUAGCAUUUAUACCACAAAUUUAACAAUAACAAUUAAAAUUCAACAAACAUAAUAAAACAUUAUCAAUAUGUAGACAAUAAAAUAUAUAAAAAAAUACAAAAACAAAUAGAAUAUGGUUAAUGAAAAAUGCUUACCUUAAUAACAUGCAUAAUUUUAGAGUUUAUCUACGUGUGAUAAAAAAACAAAAAAAAUACAUUAUUAAUAAACUGAAGAAAAGAAGAAAAUAUGUAAAAAGAUUCACCACAUACCUUUUAAUCGUGUUGAUUAUAAAAACCUUAAGUUCUACUACUAUGAAGAGAGGAUUCGAAUGAGGGGGAUUUGAACGAGAGUGAAGAGAGAAAAUGAGAGGAAAAAAUGAACUUGGAGCGACCUCGCAGGGUUUUAUACUGUGUUUUUAUCAAUGGAAUUACCAACAGACUAUUAAAUAUUAUUUUUAAUUAAUUCAUCAGUGAUUUCCUCGAUAAAGUAAACUUGAAAUUUUUAUUUCACACUAAAAUUUUCAAAAAACCCUCCAGAUUUUUGGCGGUCCGUCACCAAUUUUGUCGAUAUCAAUGACACAUCAUUAUUCGACUAUCUUUGUUUGAAUCCAACUAUAAUUCCAUCAGUAAAAGCAUUCACAAAAAGUUACACAUCAUCAUGUUUUUUUAUUAUUAUUUUUAAUUCCUUUGAUUCCGGCAGGGAUUCCCUCGGUAUUUACUAAUAGAAAUAGUUCGUCAUGAAAUAUCGACAAAAAUGGUGAUGUGAACAAUUCUGUUAGUAAAUACCAUGCUAAAAUAUCGAUUGCAUAUUUCCGUCGAUGAUUUUGUUUGUAUUCGUAUAUUUUCUGGUAGUGUUCAAAGCCAAAAAAAUCAUAUGAUUUUCAGGUAAUCUUUGUAUAAAUCCUAAACAACUCUAAAUCAGUUUAAUGAGAUUCUUGGAACUCCCAAAAAGUUUUUUUAUUUAUAGUUUUCACUGUGUGUAUAUGUUUCAAAAACCUAACAUGAUCAAUUAUAUAUAUAUAUAUAUAUAUAUAUAUAACCAAUAUUAAACUAGGCUACAGAUCUAUCCCACUUUCUCUUCACGGGUCUAUAUAAUAUUACUGUUCCAAACAAUUUUGAUUUAACGAGAGUACUUUUAAAUUACAUGAGUAGAAAACAAUUGAUUGAGAUGCAACUAAUUCUAGGCAAGCCACCUUGGAUAUAUUAUAGUCUUGUCGAGUCAUACCCUGAAAUUUGUUCACUUUUUAAAUGCAGGCAUAUGGAGCAGGUAACCCAACAAGUUUUCUUUACAGAGGAAAAUCGUGUACUAAUGAAUACUUAGAUUUUUAACUCAAGGUCUCAAAUUAUGUAUAAUUAAAUAUCACUUAAGAAUUAUAAAAAUGUUUUAUUUGCUUAUCUUGAAAAUAAUCUGUUUUAUUUAUUUAUUCAUUUAAGAAAUAGCUAAUUAUACACCAGUCAUAAAAUAAUAACAAUUACUUUUAUUCGAUUACUUGCAUAAAUUCAGUAUUUGUGAAAAAAAAUCCCAAUAAAAAAUGAAUGAAAAUUUUUUUUGGACUUAAUAAAAAUAGGUGUGGAUAUUAGCAAAAUUAAGUCUUUUUCAAUAAAAUGAACAUUUAUGCCAAUAUAUAUUGCUCCUUCCAUUAGCUAUGGUGGGAUAAUGGUACGUUGAUUACAAUUUAUUUAGUCAAAUAUGUUUAUUAUCAUUCAAUUCCCUGGAAAACGGAAUAAACUCUGGUUCAUUCACUGGAUUUUGGACAACAUUGCAUAAAAUACCUUUAUGUGUGACUGCUGAAAGAAGACAGAAAACGAUGAGUAAGGAGAACUAAGGAUUUGAAAUCUCAUUAAUGGAGGAUUCGAGAUGGCCAAUUCCAGAUUGACCUGAUGGAUAUGAUUCAUGAUUAGUUAAUGACCUUGAUGUUGAUAUUGGUUGCUCUCUAGAGGAGGGAAUAUCUUGUGCCGGCCUUGAUGUUUCUUGUUCCUCCAUAGCGGAGUGCAUACAAUAUGGAGGUCUUGAUGGUAAUGGAAGAACGAAAGACUCGCUACUAAGCAUCAGAAUAACUGAAGCCAUGGUUGGUCUAUCUGCUACCUUUUCUUGGACACAUAGUAAUCCUAUGUGGAAACAUCUUAUCAAUACAUCUCUCCUUGAAACAACCCUUUUGAGAAUAGGAUCUAUCAGAUUUAAUGUUCUUCCUUCAUUCCAACUCUCCCAUGCCUGCAAACAUUUUGAUUUUAUCAAUUGUGCCUAUGUGUUGGGGUAAUAGAUUAGAGAAAUACAAUGAACCAUUUUUAGCAGCAAUAAAAAAAAAAGUUCAAUUGAUCUGAACCUACUCAUAAAGAUGUUACUUACGUUGGUGAGAAGGUAUUCUUGCUCUUCCUCGCUAUUGAAUGAACCAUUUUGACGACCAGUAAUAAUCUCCAAAACUAGCACACCGAAGCUAAAAACAUCUGACUUCGCUGAGAAGCAUCCAUGCAUCGCAUAUUCUGGAGCCAUGUAGCCCCUGAAGGUAACCAUAAUUUAAAUAAUUUCAAUUCCACGAAAUUUUAGCAAUAAGCUGUAGCUAGAUUCUCAAAACUUACAAGGUCCCCACAAUUCUACUUGUAGCAUCUUGCGUUUGAUCCAUUUGAAAUAGCUUUGCCAUGCCAAAAUCCGAGAUUUUAGCAUUCAUUUGAUCAUCUAACAAAAUGUUGCUAGCUUUUAGAUCACGAUGAAUAACCCGAAGCUGAGAAUCUUGGUGAAGGUACAGAACUCCUCGAGCAAUGCCUACUAUGAUCUGGUAGCGUAUUUCCCAAUCAAUGAGCGAUCGCUUGCUUGGAUCUACAGCCAUGAAGUCAUAAAGCAUGGGCAUCAAAAAGGAACAAGGAGCAACAUAAUCUACUCUUUCAAAAAAAUAUAUUGAGUUUGAAUAGUAACAAAAUAAUGUUUUCGGAUUACCAAAUAAGAAUUGAUCAAGACUUGAAUUAGGCAGAAACUCAUAUACUAGAAGCUUUUCUGUUCCUUCGAAGCAGGAACCAAGGAGCCUAACUAGAUUCCUAUGCUGAAGCCUUGCCACUAACAGGACCUCGUUCUUAAAUUCAACUUCUCCUUGUGCAGAAUUUCUUGCUAGUCUCUUUACAGCUAUUGCUUGUCCAUCUUGAAGCAGACCCUAAAUCAUUUUUCCAUUGAAAGAGUUUAAGAUAAAAACAAUGCAAAUCAACAUCAUGUAAUACAAUCAUCUUCAAGUUUUAUAAAAUUUAACAAAUAUUUGAUAAAGAUAUUCAAAGGAGCUGUGAUGAGAUAAAAUCACUGAUUUAUUCAUUUACAUUUUGCAUGUAUAUAUACAGAAUGGAGGAGCUUAUUAAGCCUGAAGAUUAGCUAUUCUAUAACUGAUUACAAGUUGUCCAUAAUUCAAAUUCAAACGUGAGGAUCUGAUGCUGGUGAGUGAGGAUUUUGUGGAAGAGUGAUUGCUUUUCUUAUAUGCCCCCGCAAGAUGGAGGUACCAUCAGUAACGCCAAUCUUGGAUCUUAAGGUUUGAAAGCGUUGACGUGGAAGGGGUUUUGUGAGCAAGUCUACAAGUUGAUCUAAAGUAUGAACAUGGUUGACAGCAAUGCGACCUUUCUGGACAAGAUCACGAACAAAGAGAAGAUCAAUGUCGAUAUGUUUCUUGCGAGUGUGUUGCACUGGAUUGAGGCUAAAAUGAGUUGCACCAAUGUUAUCACAGAAAACCUGAGGAGGGUUUGGAAGAUGUAAACCAAGUUCCUUGAUUAAGGAGUGAAGCCAAACUGUUUCAGAAGUUGCAGCUGCUAAUGCACGAAAUUCAGCUUCUGUAGAAGACCGUGAGACAGCUCGUUGUUUGCGUGCAGACCAAGAAAUAGGAUUAGAGCCUAGAAAAGUAAUGAAAGUAGUGGUGGAGAUUCGUGUAUCAGUGUUGGCAGCCCAGUCUGCAUCAACAAAAGUGUGGAGAUUGAAGGGGCUGCUUUGUUGAAUAAGAAAUCCAUGAAACAUUGUUUGCUUGAGAUACCGGAGAAUUCGUUUGGCUGCCGUCCAGUGACAUGUUGUUGGUUUGUGCAUGAAUUGGGAGAGUCGAUUUACUGCAAAUGCAAUGUCAGGUCUAGUUAGACCAAGAUAUUGCAGUCCCCCAAUAACUUUGCGAUAUUCUGUGCUAUCUGUAGGAGCUGAGCCAUCCGAUAAGGUUAAUGGAGUGCUGGUGGACAGUGGAGUGUGAACAUAUUUUGCCAUGUCCAUGGAUGUCUUUGAGAGUAAAUCACGGAUGUAUUUGUGCUGCGACAGGAAAAGCCCCUUGGCUGUAGGAAUGACCUCAAUGCCAAGAAAGAAAUGAAGAUGUCCCAUGUCUUUUACAAAGAACGAUUGACUGAGUUUGGCGAUAAUAGCAUCCAUAAAUGUGGAGACGUUUCCUGUGACAAUAAUGUCAUCAACAUACACAAGACAAUAGCAGAGAACACUGUUAGAGACAUAUAUGAAUAGAGAUGUGUCCGUAGCUGAGUGAACAAAACCAAAUUGCAGAAGAGCAUCCCGAAGAGCUUUGUACCAUUGGCGAGGUGCCUGUUUCAGGCCAUAAAUACUUUUCUUUAGUCUGCAAACAUAAUCAGGUUUGGAAGCAUCUCUAAAGCCGGGAGGUUGAUGCAUAAACACUGUCUCUUCAAGAUUGCCAUUAAGAAAGGCAUUAUUUAUGUCGAGCUGCCUAAGAGACCAACCAUUAGUGAUAGCAAGGGAGAGAAUCAGGCGAAUGGUAGCUGGUUUGACAACUGGACUGAAUGUCUGGGAAUAAUCAAUGCCUGGCCUUUGGUGGAAGCCUUUUGCAACGAGGCGAGCUUUGUACCUGCUUAUGGUGCCAUCAGGAUUGCGUUUUGUUCUGAAAACAAAUUUGCAUCCGAUAAGAUUCUGAUUAGCUGUAGGAGGAACAAGAUCCCAGGUGGCAUGAUUAAGUAAUGCAGAAAUUUCUUCUGACAUGGCAUUGCGCCAAAGUGGAUGUUUAAGUGCUUGAUUAACGCACGUGGGCUCAGGGGAGUCAGGUAAUGGGUGUGUUGUGGUGUUAUGAAACUGUUUUGGUACAAAGAUGUUAUUCAUAGACCGAGUGUUCAUAUUAUGGCGUCUUUGAGGAUCAACAGGAGCCUGAGAAUUUACCUGAACUGGGGAGAUGGUGGUGUUUAAAUUUGAUGCAGGGGGAGGGAUGUUUUCUUGAAGGGCAGUAGAGACUGGUGCAGGGAGGUCUUGGCUGGUUGGAGGAAUAAGCUGCAGGAGAGGAGCAGAGACUGGAGGAGCAACAGGCGUAGAGGUGGAUUGGUUGAUGGUAUUCUGCAGGGGAAAUGUGUUUUCAUCAAAGGUAACAUGCCGUGAGAUAUAUAAUCGUUGAGUAGGCAAAUGAAGGCAUAGAUAUGCACUUUGUGUAUUAGAGUAGCCAAGGAACAGACAGGGAACAAAUUUGGGUUGAAGUUUGUGUGGGUGAUAUGGUUUCAGCCAAGGAAAGCACAAGCAACCAAACGUUCUGAGUUUGAGAUAAUUGGGAGUGGUCGCGAACAAGGUUUGAAAGGGAGAUUUGUGCUCAAGGAUAGGAGAGGGUAAUCGAUUUAUGAGGUAGGUAGCUGCUGCAAAGGCAUAGGACCAAAAAUGGGAAGGGAGAUGUGAUUUCCGGGCGUUUGAGGUAAGACUGAUGGCCAAUUAGAAGAUCAUGAAGUUCUUCAAAUGAGAGGGCAGAUUCUCGUGUACGAAUAGGAGCUACCAUUUCUCUAUACUCAGGCCCUAAGCCAUUGAGAGCAUAGAGAGUAAUAUCAUCGACAGAGAGAGGAGCAUCAAUGAGUGCAAGCUCAUCGGCAAUAGACUUAAUAGAAUAGAGAAAGUCUGUGACAGUGCGUGUGCCACGCUGAAUGAGUGUGAGAUCCUCUUUGAGUUGCAUGACUCGUGUUCUGGAACGACUGGCAUAAAGCUUGGUCAGUUUGUUUCAGGCUUGAGAGGAUGUUUUUGAAGCUGCUAUGAAGGGUAUCACAGAAUCAGAUACUGAAGUGAGUAUAGCAUUCAAAAUGAGUUUGUCCUGGCGAAACCAAAAAAUGGAGGCAGCAGUAGGUGCUGCAUCAGGACUUGUGGAUGAAGGACAUGGAAGUGUGCCAUCAAUAUAACCAAACAGGUUAUAACCAAGAAGGAGGGACUCAAACUGUGCAUGCCAAGAGGGAUAAUUUGUUGGGGUGAGUUUAGUUGUAAUUUGUUGGAUGGCAUUGAUAGCAACAGGAGAAGAGACAGUGGAAGCCAUUGCAGAAUCGAAAAAAAAAGAAAAAGGAUCAUAAUAGAACUCGUUGGAGAAGAAGCUCUGAUACCAUAAAGAUAUUCAAAGGAGCUGUGAUGAGAUAAAAUCACUGAUAUAUUCAUUUACAUUUUGCAUGUAUAUAUACAGAAUGGAGGAGCUUAUUAAGCCUGAAGAUUAGCUAUUCUAUAACUGAUUACAAGCUGUCCAUAAUUCAAAUUCAAACGUGAGGAUCUGAUGCUGGUGAGUGAGGAUUUUGUGGAAGAGUGAUUGCUUUCCUUAUAUUUGAUUCACAUUUCAACCUUUUAAUAUCAUUAAUUACCUUAUAAACAGCACCAAAGCCACCUUGUCCAAGCUUAUUAUCAUCAGAGAAGUUAUGUGUUGCAACUCUGAUGGAUGCAAAUCUGAAUUGCACGCAUUCAUGGCCUCCAUUUUCUUUGAAAUCUUCAUGAAAGAAAAACGUGAAGUAGUUAAUUCCAUUCUAUGUUCAAAUCUGUAUCCCUGACAAUUAUUAUGUAUAUUGAGUAAAGACUAACUUACUUAUGACCUCUUGCUUUGGCCGCCUACAAUAAAGAAAGAUGGAAGUGAUAACUACAACUGCCAUGAAGACUAAUACGGAAACAAUGAUGAUUACAACUUUCCGAGUUGUAUUGCCAUUCUCUGCAAACCAUGGAAAGGUUUCAGAUAAAAUGUAAAUAGAAGCUGAAAUGUUAAUGCUCAACUAUGAGUGAAAUGAUUAAAUUUAUUGCCUUAUACGAUAAAGAAGAAUCCGUCGUUUGCAUCAGUGCAUAUAUUUGUUCUAAUGGAAAAAUCACUUGCUGAGUAUGGAAAAAUUAUGUUGGUAAUUAAAAAAAAAAGAUAAAAGUUUCCUAAAACUUUCUCUGUAACUCGUUAAUAACAAGGGAAGCAAUAAUUCCAUCGGUAAUUUCUGUUAAUAAUCUCGAAUUUAUUUUCUAAUAGUGUAUGCAAGAUAAGGGGCAAGUCUCCGAAAGUCUGGCGGUCGGACUUUUUUUUUUCUUGACCAAUAUAAUCAUAUAUAAUUGUAACUACAGGUUCUCAACAGGGUUUAGGCUGCGGGAAUCUAGAAUUUUCCUUCUCCUUCAAUCUAAACGAAAAGUAGAAGGACAAGUACAUAUGGGAUUCCAUUUCCACGUUUCAGUAGAAAUACGUGAUUUGAAUUGAACAAUAUUAUUUUAUUUUUUGCUUGAGAAAGGAGUUGAAUUUAAUUCAAUACAAAGUGAUCAGUAGAAUUUAUUCAAUUCACUCAUUUUCUAUGAAUUUUUUUCUGGUGAGAAUUAGGACUACUAGAGUUUUUGUAUUCUCUUCUUAAAAUUUAGGAUGUUGCAUGGAUGACUUGGUAUGAACCAAAUAAUUUAGUGCGUGCGUAAGGUAAAAGGGCUCUCUUAAUUCAUAUCUUUUCAAGGUCUACCUGCAGCUGGCGGUGCUUCUGGCGAUGGCGGAAGUGGUAGCUGUGCUAGUGUGGCGGCUGUAACUCUAUAAAAAGGGUAGGUUUCAAACCUUAAAUAGCAGCUUCCUCUUACAACUCUCCCUCCAAUCUUUCCUUCGAUCUGUCCAUCACAACAGCUUCGGAUCUGUUGAAAAGUCCCAGCCAGGCAAUCAUCACAAUCCUGGGCUGAUAAAUCAGGCAUGCAUUGAACAAGUCCAAAUAUUGUAAUGAUUCCCGCCGUUUGAUUUCCUGUCGCAAACUUUAGAAGUGAAGUACCUGAAGCUGCAGCUGUACGAAGUCGACUUGUCAAGUUUCCAAGUGCCUGACUGAAUAGAUUCACAUGCGAGGCAUUUUCUGUGUUCCAAGUGUACACAAUAAACUCUCCGUCUAAGACACCAAACGAGGAUCUGUUGGAGUAUCGUAGAAUACAGAAAUCAUAAAUUCCUAUCGCCUCUUUCUGGUUAGGACAAACCUGUAAGAUCUUACGCACAGAGUUACUAACGCAACCUCGACACUCAUUCAGCAAAAUAUCUCCUCUACAAAGUGCAAGUGCAUGUACUUGGUCAGGGCAUAUUUGACCAGCAGAGAAAUUAUAAUAUCCGUAGUCGAUUUGGGUAUUGGAGGCCAGAGAAGAAAGGAUGCUGUCAAGGUUCUUUUGGAAAGUGCUGUUAGCUGUGUAGUUGUUUUCGGUGUUUCUGCAAGACUGGUACAAGAAAUCUGGUGAGCAAUACUCAGUGAAGCUAGAAGAAUACAAGAAAAUGAAAACAACACUAUCAGUCUUAAGGAAUCCAUCGGAAAAGGGUUGCUCACUCUUCCCUCAAGUUUUUUUUUUUUGGGGAGAGGGAUAGUGCAUGAUGGGUUUCAUCUUAGGGUGUUAAUUCUAUUUAUUUUUUGAAAUCAGUAGUCUAUGAUUGCAAUGCUUGAACAUAGAUAGCUACUAUUUUGGGGGAGAAAAAUGCUUUUGACACUUUAAUUAAUGGUCGAUUUGAACACGAAUUACUAUAGGUAAACUUGGUCAACAUGGAGGCCAGAAAAAUAAUUCAGGUAUGUAAGUAUGAUGUGAAGCACAUUCAAUGAAGCAACAACUAUUAUCAUAUGUCAUAAAUCGGAGAGUCUUUAACAAUUUAAGAGAUUAUUUGAUAUAAAGGGAGCAGUGGCAUACAAUGGGAAUAACACAGAUCAAAUACAAAGAUCAAGAAAAGGCUCAUAAAAUAUGUUAUUAUGUGGGAUAGUAGGCUUAUCAAAUAUAAAGCAACACGUACGGUUGUAUAGUUCAAUCCUUUGUAUACCAAAAAAUACACAAUGCAUUUACUCGUUUCUAUGUCGUCCAGUCUCAUUCCAUCUUAUUCUAUCCAGCUAGCAUACUAAAAGUAUCCUUAAAAAGCGAAGUGAUUGUUGCCCUAAAAACGAUGAUCUGUUUAUUACAGUUGUUCGAUUUUGAUAUGUUAUUAUAAAAUAUCAAAUUAAUAUGUUUGGUAAACAAGUUAAUGGAUUAAGAUGUAAGUCAUUAACGACAAGCCGCCCCUUGAACCAUAUCCUUCCUCUAGUUUUUUUAAACAGAUUGAGUGGAAGUCGUCUUUGGGUGCUUCAUUUAUUUUGAAGAACACGAAAAUUAUUGAGGUUGGCUUGAAUCAAGAUAGCUUGAUUCAUGCGUCAGUGACGAGCUUAUUUACUGUAAGGUAACAAUCAAACUUAUAUACCCCGAAAGCCACCUUCAUAUUCAGAUUAUCCCACCAUAACAGUGUAGUUUACAUUAGUAGUCAAGACAUCCAAAUUUUUUUAUGUUAAUUUUCUAAGUAACUAUUAUGCAUCUCUAAUAUCUUCAUGUGAUCUAUCACAUCAUGAAUUUUACCAUCAAGAUUUCUAAUAAUAAAUAAAAUCAUGAAAUACCAAUGCAUUUUUCACUUUUAGUCCUCAAAAAAUCAAAAUGUUUGAUGAUUUUUUUUUUUUUUACAAUUUCAUUCUCUAAUAUUGAAUUUAUUGGGUAUUGAAUUUUAUAAUUUAUUUUGAUUUAUUUUUUAUGGAGUUAUCCCGGUCUUAUGACCCGAUUCGUGAAUUAUACAAGUUAGUUGUGUUGACUUGGAUUUUUUUUUUAAAUUGUUUUCCUCAUCUUCAUUCCUUAACAUUGAAUUGAUUGGUAAUUGAGAUUUAUAAUUAUUUUUUAAUUUUGUUUCUAUGAGUUUAUUAUAAUUUCAUGACCCUAGCCGUAAGUUUUACGAGUUAGCCAGGUUGACUCAAAUAUUUUUUUUCUUUUUUAAAUUUUUUUUAUUCAAACUCAUCCUUCAACAUUGAGUUGAUCGAAAGUUAGAAUUUAAAAAUUUUCUUAUUACUUUCUGAGUUAUUUUAUUCUCUUGACUCGAAUUUGGUAGGUUAACCCAAGUUGACUUGAGUCAUUGUUUGUUCUUUUUUUCAAUUUAAUUAAUCAACUUUGAGUUUAUUGAGAUUUGAACUUCAUGAUUUUUUUAUAUUUUCUUUCUAUAUAUGGGGUUAUCAUGAUUUUAUAAUCCACGUUGUAGGUUAUGCUAAUUGACUUGGAUGUUUUUUUUAUUUUUUUAAUUAAUUUAUUUUUUCCACUUUAUCCUUCAAUAUUGGAUUGAUUGAGAAUUAUAUUUCAUAAUUUAUUUUGAUUUGUGUUUUAUAAGGUUAUUUUAGUCUCAUAAUUCGAGUCAUGGUUUGUCCAUUUUUUUGUGUCCUUUUAUUAAUUGAUUUUUUUUAAUUGCAUCUUUUAACAUUGAGUUAAUUCUAAAUUGAUCUUCAUAAUUUAUUUUGAUUUUUUUAUAUAGUGUUAUUUCGAUCUCAAGAUCUAAAUUUGGUAAGUUAACCCAAGUUUACUCAGCUCAUUUUUUUAGUUGAAGCUUGUUUUCGAUUUCAUCCUUCAACAUUAGAUUAAUUGAGAAUUAGAUUAAUAAUAUUUUUUAUUUACUUUCUAUAUGGUUAUCAGGGUCUCAUGAUCUCUAUAACAAAUUUAGCAAGUUAAUUAAAGUUGAUUCAAGUUGAUCUAAUAUGUUUUUGUUUCAAUAUUUUUUUAAAAAAUGACAUUUUAAUUUUUUAAUCAAACUAUAUUUUUAUCAGCCAUCUUAAUUGUUUUUAAAUUUACCAUACAAUUUCUCAAGUCAAUCCUCAUACAGUGUAUUUUGUUUUUCAGCUAAAAAAUACAUUAACACUAUUUAAAUAAUUUUUUAUAUUAAAAAAUUAAUCUGAUCUAGAGCAUAGCACCACCAGUAAUAAUCUAGUUUAAUUUAAAAUUUAUUGGAUACUACCUUCACAUGCGAUUAUUAGACACCCUCCUACCUUUAUAUAUAUAUAUAUAUAUAUAUAUAUAUAUAUAUAUAUAUAUAUAUAUAUAUAUAUAUAUAUAAUAACAUUAACAAUAUUUUUAUUUUAAAAUAAUAAAUAGGCUCCCUAUUCAAUGUUCAAAUGGUAGCAGAGCCCAUAUGAAUUUGCUUGUGGGCUUCUCAUUUAAUUAAAGAACUGAUCAACUAGACAACAGGCAUGGAAAGCCCAUGAUAUGAAACCUACUAAAUCUUGUUAUCCAAGAUAGGCCUUUUAACACGAGGAAUUGAGGAUCCUUCAAAGCCCAUGGCUGGGUUUGAACCUUGGCCCUCUUCUAAAGAUACUCCCAUGCCUCCUAUAUCCCUUUUUUCUUAAAGAACUAAAAUUAUGAAGAAAAAAAAUGUCAGAUCCCCAGCUUUUAGAUGCAUGUAAAUAUAUAGAGGGAGAGAGUAAGAUAUGGGAUUCGAUAAUCUAAUCUCUCUGUUAAUUAUUGAUUGUUUUAGGACCAGAUUAUAGUUAUUUUUAAGUGUAGACGAAGAAUAGUUUACUUUAUUUUAAAUAUAUCUGUAUGGUCUCCGAAGAACAGGCUUGGCUUGAAUUUGCACAGCCAAUCAACCAAGAUUUUUGCUCUUUUGCCUAAUUGGUUGUCAUUCAAUCUAUAAAAUAUAGCAAAUAUUGCUACCAAAAGCAUCUCAGAAAUAUAACAAGGACCUAAUUGAACAAUCACGAAAUCUAAUGUGGCCCUUCUUUUUUAUUCUUUUUCAUCUAUUUAUUUCACCACAGCAUUUGCUUCAAAUCCAACAAGAAACCACAGCUUCUGCUUCCAUCAAAAAACAAAUAAUUUGAAGCAAAGUUGGAGCACCAACAUGCUUAGUAACUUGCUCUUUACCUUUGGAUGUUAUCGAGGGUCCAGCUCAGAGAUGGUAACCUCAUUGUUAGAACACCGGGAAGAUCUAGUUCUGGAUUCAUCCGACUCAAUUAACCUUGAAGCAUUCACCGAUGACGGGAACGAGUCUUCCCUGUGCAUAAAAAAUGCAGGUUUUGAGGGUGCUGCGAGAGUGACAGAGUAGCUACUAAGCAUCAUAGAAACUUGAGCCAUAGUUGGUCUGAGGGCUUCUUUUUCCUGAACACAGAGUAAUCCGAUGAUGAUGCAUCUCGUAAUUUCAUUUCUUGGACCAACAAUCAAGGUAGGAUCUAUUAUGUCUAGAGGUGUCCCAUCGUUCCAUUUUCUCCAUGACUGCAAAAAUUUAGAUAAAGUUCAAGCACAUUAUUCAAACAGAAUCAAUAAAAUUAAGCACUGUUGAUACUUACAUAGGUUAGAAGGUCCUCUCCUUCGUCUCCUAUGCCCCUGCCACCAAUCUUUCGACCACUAACAAUUUCUAAAACUAAGACACCGAAGCUAUAUACAUCUGAUUUAACGGAGAAAUGUCCACGGAUAACAUAUUCUGGAGCCAUGUACCCGCUGCAUGGAAACAUCAGAUUUGGAUUAAUUCUAGUUUAAACAAUGACUGCCGAAAAUCUACUAUAAAUUAUUUCAUUUUUUCCCAAUCAAUUUAUUAUAAUUUGAAAAUUUCUAAAACUAAGACACCGAAGCUAUAUACAUCUGAUUUAACGGAGAAAUGUCCACGGAUAACAUAUUCUGGAGCCAUGUACCCGCUGCAUGGAAACAUCAGAUUUGGAUUAAUUCUAGUUUAAACAAUGACUGCCGACGAAAAUCUACUAUAAAUUAUUUCAUUUUUUCCCAAUCAAUUUAUUAUAAUUUGAAAAUUUGUGGCAGACUGGCAGUAUAUACUCACAAGGUCCCAACAACUCUACUCGUGCUAUCUUGAGCUUGAUCCAUAACAAACAUUCUUGCCAUUCCAAAAUCUGCGAUUUUUGGAUUCAUGUUCUCAUCCAGCAGAAUAUUAGCAGCUUUGAGAUCACGAUGAAUAAUCCGUAGUCGAGAGUCUUCAUGUAGGUAAAGAAGCCCCCUUGCAAUGCCAUCUAUGAUUUCGUAGAGGGUUUCCCAAUCUAGAAGUACACGCUUGACUGGAUCUGAAAAUCAACUAGAACCAGAUCAAUUACCUGAACUGACCAUGGAGAUUACAUGUUCAAACUUGAUCAAGGAAUCAAAUGACGAAUAUACCAAAUAUCAAGUUGUCGAGGCUUGAGUUGGGGAGAAACUCAUAGACAAGAAUCCUUUCUUCUUUCUCGAAGCAGAAACCCAGGAGUCUAACCAAAUUCCGAUGCUGAAGCUUGGCAACUAACAUGACCUCAUUCUUGAAUUCUAUCUCUCCUUGUCCUGAUGUCCUAGACAAUCUCUUUACAGCUAUAUCUUGUCCACUCGUCAGAGUGCCCUGGAAUCAUGUCAAAAUCAGAAAUGUUUAGAACAAAUUGAAUCUAGUCCAAAAUUACCAAAUGUCUCACAUUGAAUCAUAUUUGACAGGCAAUUGAUUUUCCUUUACCUUGUACACGACACCAAAUCCUCCUUGUCCAAGUUUAUUAUCCUCAGAGAAGUUACCAGUUGCUGCUCUGACAGUGCCAAAAUCAAGUUGGAGCAAUUCUACAUCUUCCAUUUCAUUUAAAUCUACAACAAAGUAAUCCUAACGCAUAAGCAAAUGAAAAGGCUGCUUCUCUGAACAGCUUGAAUGAAACAUAUCUUCAUGUAAAAAAUGGUGUAUUUUAACACUAGCAGAAUUUCCCAUCAAUUAUCAUAACAUCAGCAAUUUAAAGCUUAAGAUUGAGUGUAGGAAUGGUAAGCAAUAAAAAGAGGACUCUAAGAGGCUAAAAAGCUUCGCGUUAUGUCCUUAACCUUUCAAAUAACUUCAGAAAUUACCUUCAGCUUCCUCUUCCUCUUCCCCCUUCUGCUUCCUCCUAGCUCUUAAGAAGAUGCAGACGCAAACUAUAAGAAUCACAGAAACAGCUAUCGGAACAAUGGAAAUGAUGAUGAUGACAUUUCUCUUCAAGCCCUUCUUUCCUAAAAACCAGAAAUGAAAUCUGAUUUACACAUGUUUAGGUUGAAUUUAUAGAUUUGUCUAAUAACUAACAAGUAGUAACAGAGUAAGUUAAGUCAAUAUCAAAAGGUUAACUUCUAAAUUGCUGGGAAUAGAUCCUUAAUUGAAUCGAAUCUUUAACAGCCUAAACCCACAUACUCAAAUUCAAAAUAGUUGAAGAAAAGUAUUUCAUCUAGUCAUGCUUUAAGUUGUGCGCAUACCUUGUGAAGUUGAAGCUGGUGGUGAUGGAAUUGAAUUGUUCGAAGUUGAAUCUGGUGGUGGUGGGAUUGAAUUACUCGAAGGGUCAUAGAAACGGUCUAUCUCAUACCUGAAAUUACAGCUUGGAUAAAUAACUCUUCCUCCUUGUCUUGCAUUACAACACUCUGGAAUAAGUCCUGAAGCAUUAUACAGGCAAUCCCUGCAUUCCGAAGGAGAUAAAUCCGGAGUACACUGUACAAGUGCAUAUAUUGUUUGAAAGUUUGGGGCAGCUAUUUGACCCGUUGCAUAACGAGAAUCCCCUGCUGCUGCUUCAUCUCUCAGCCUAUCUAACAAGGUCAUCCGUGACUGAUUGAACCCGACUACAUCAGAGACAUUAACUCGAAUAUCAUACACCCAAAAAUAAGGUCCUUCUUCCAAGAGAUUAAAUAUGGAGCGGUUUGCGUAGCGUACCAUACAAUCGUCUAACCCUCCAAUUGCC